rnacentral:rRNA from 1 species
AUGAAGCAACAACUGGUACCGUAUAGAAGGGGCCAUAAACUAGAGAGUCUUGACCAAUUCGAAAGAUCAUUUGGUGUAGUUGAAAUAACAGAAUUGGAACUUGUUUGGUGCUUUUCAAGUCCACCGUCAAAUCCCAGGGCUCAACCCUGGACAGGCGGUGGAAACUACCAAACUGGAGUACGGUAG